CCCGUGUGACGUGUCUGGACUCUGGAUGAAGAGGAAGAGUACCCUCGAUGCACCUGUAAAUUUUGAUCAUCAGAAAAGAAAGAAAGAGAGCCGCUAGAAGAGAGAAUAUUAUUAGGGUUUCCAAAAGUUGUAUGUCGAAGCUAACAGAAGAUGGCACUGAGAGCUACAGGAAGACUACUAUCUCAGAGGGAUCUCAAUCGGAGUUUCAGGAACUUUAGUGCGAAAGCAGUAUCUUCUGAAAAUGUUCAGAAAAAGCUACUGGAUGAACGUCGCAAGAAAAUAAUUUUGGCAGAAAUGAAGGCUCUUACGGCUUCUGCUGAGAACAAUAUUGCUUAUUGGGAACCACUUGCCGUCAAAAAAAAAUACGUAUCUAAAUCGAGUCACCGCUAUGUCUUUGUUUGCCAUAUGUAUGGCGGGUGACCUCAUCCAUACCGAAAAAACUGGCAAGGCA